ensembl:lincRNA
CAUCUCAUUCCCCACCCCAUGCCAACUUCCCCCCCAACCCCCACCUGCCACCCCACACACUUCCCACCUAACGUCAACCCUGAGGCUCAGCCGCUAAGCCGGAAGCUGGCGCCGGAAGAUGCCGGUUCCGCCAGCUGCUGGCCGCGCAGGCGCAGGGCAGACCCGAGGCCGUGCCGUCACUGGGCUCUAGCACGCCGGCGCAGCCAGGCUAGCGAUGGGAGGAGCUGUUGGUUUCCACCGAAGUUUUGCUGUGGUCCGUCCUCUUUCGCCAUGGAGAAGUAGAACAAAUUCCUCCGCAAACCUGCGGUUUGCAGAGCGAUGGUGGACUCCCGAGCUCAUCGGGUCAGGCACCUCUUCACGGCGGAGGACUGGGGUACGUAACUGGAGGGACUCCUGGUGCUCGGAGGAGGGUUGAAUGCCAAGAUCCCCAGGUCGUGGAGCAGGGAGCCGGGCCCACGCCGCCGAGGUAUCUUUUCCGUCCGGGCCACCGUCGCGGGGGCUCCCCGGGCAGCGGCUUCUGCGCAUGCUCGGGAGAGCGGGCAGGGUUCCCACUCCGGGAGCGGAGACGGAGAACAGGUUAUGUGGGAGCCGGCGGGGGCAUUUGCCGGCGACACCCGAGCGGGGGCCGGAAGUGGGGCCACAGCGCACCGCAGGAGCUCCGGGCUAGACCGUGGCGACGGCAGCGGCCCCUGGGCUGGAGGAGGAUGAUGAGGAGCGACGGAAGCGACGCGGGGGUACGCUGCUGCGCGGCGCCCGGUUUCGUGCCCGCGGCCGACUGCGCAGCCUGUCCGCGAGUCUGACUGUGCAGCUGGCAUGGUUUCUUAACUUCCCAAUGCUUAACAGAAGAGGAGAGAGAUUGAUGUAAGAAUACUGAAUCUGAGUUCCACAUUACUUCACAUGUGAUUGGAAGCUGUGAUUCACCCAGAGUCAUUAAUGAGCACCAUGGGAUGUGGGGUCCUCAUUCUCUGCUGGGAUGUGGAUGUUGGCAUUGACACAUGAACGCGCUUUCCACUUUUUACAGUCUUCACUUGAACCUGCACAUUGUUCUUUCCACUUGUAGGCAUGUUUUUUUUUUUUUUUUUUUUUAAUGUAUGAACUGUUUUAUUUUAAACAAGCUGUUCCCAAAAUUAUCAAUUUAGGAUGAACUUAAUUAAAGACCUUUAAAGAAAUAAUAGUACAUUUAUGACUUAGGACUUUUAAUUGUAUUUGAAAUUGUUUAGCCUUUUGCCAAAUUGUUUUUGAGAAAUUUGUUGUAAUUCACCUAUGGAUAAUGCACUUUUUUGUAUUUUUAAAAGACCAUUUGCUAGUGGCAGAAUCUGUAACUCAAUAUACAAUAUGCAAUACAAUGUACACUUUUUUUAUUUUUGCGGAGGAGUCUCACUGCAUCACCCAGGUUGGAGUGUAGUGGCAAUGAUCUCAGCUUGCUGCAACCCUGACUCCUGGGUUCAAGUGAUUCUCGUGCCUCAGUCUCCCUAGUGGCUGGGAUUACAGGCACGUGCCACCAUGCCCAGCUAAUUUUUUGUAAUUUUUAGUAAAGACGGUGUUUUACCAUGUUGCCCAUACUAGUCUCAAACUGCUGGGCUCAGUCAGUCCACCUGCCUUGGCUUCCUAAAGCGCUAGGAUUACACGCAUGAGCCACACGCCUGGCCCAAUGUACACUUUUUAAUUAAAAGUAAUUAGAAUAACUAGAAUUUAAUUUGUAGGGCAGUUCUGACCUUCAUUAAAAAACAAUUUUUAUUGUAAAAUGUUAUCUAUGAUAUAGUAGAUUUUGUCUCGUUUACUCUCCUACUAACCUUACGGCAAUAAUUAAAAUGUAUUACUAUACUCUUGAGUUUCAGUUCUUGAUAUAUUUAAGUUUUAUUUAUUUUAAUUUUGGAGAAAAUAUUACUGGGUAAAACUUUAAAUAUAUUUGUGUAUGUUAUAAUGCAGAAAGGAUUUAAAUAAAUGUAAUAUAUCUUUCUUAAUUUGAAGAAGGCAAGUCUCUGGGGCGUAAGGCAAUACAGUUAUAUGGUUAAAUAGUGUGGAACAGUGAUUCUCAAGCUUUUUGGUCUCAGAUACCUUCACAUUUUAGAAAUGUAAAGGUCCCAAAGAUUUUUUUGUAUGUAUGUGGAUUAUAUGGAUAUUUAUUGUGUUAGAAAUUAAACCUGGAAGUUUAUAAAGUGUAUACAUUAAAACUGGAAGUUUUAAUUCAUUUAAAAAUAGCAGUGGUAAGUUCAUUACAUACAUAAAUAAAAUUUUAUAUAAAACAAUUUUAAUUACAAAAAGUAGAGGUGUGGGAUUAUAUUUUUGUAAUUUAAUGUCUGCCUCAUAGAAGGCAGGCGGAUUAUUGGGCUCUUUAAGUGAAGCAUGAAGGAAGUGAGGCUCACACAAAUUUGUCGUUGUAAAGGGAAGAGUAUUGUAAUAGAGAAUUGUGGAUACUCUUUGUGCGACUGACUCCAUCACUCAACAGGAGGCACUUCCUUAAAGGUCAGUUACAUCAUGCCAUCUGAAACCUACAUCAGAGAAAUUUUUGUCUCUUGUUACAUCAAAAUCUGUUGAUUUGUAGUGAAUUUUUUACUCAUGUUUGCUUGAUUUUGUGACACCAUUCGUUGGUCAUUUGGAAUAUGUUGGUUUAUUGAGUUAUGCAGAUUCUUCCAAAUGGUGACACAUUUAAUAUUAAUAGAUUACCACAGUGCCAUCAAAAAGGUCUCUUAAGUGUCAAGGAGCUAUUGGCAACCUCAUUCAUUUUCUAGUAAAUAUCUGCCAAACCUCUAAGUCUGAACAACCAUAGUUUGUCAGUUGUCUUUUUAAAUAAAAAUGUUGUCACCUGAACAAAGCAGCUAG